rnacentral:rRNA from 1 species
UACAGAGGGGGCGAGCGUUGUUCGGAAUUACUGGGCGUAAAGGGCGCGUAGGCGGCCAACUAAGUCAGACGUGAAAUCCCUCGGCUCAACCGGGGAACUGCGUCUGAUACUGGAUGGCUUGAAUUCGGGAGAGGGAUGCGGAAUUCCAGGUGUAGCGGUGAAAUGCGUAGAUAUUAGGAAGAACACCAGUGGCGAAGGCGGCUCACUGGCCCGGUACUGACGCUGAGGCGCGAAAGCGUGGGGAGCAAACAGG